rnacentral:rRNA from 1 species
AGAGUUUGAUCCUGGCUCAGGAUGAACGCUAGCGACAGGCCUAACACAUGCAAGUCGAGGGGCAGCACGGUGUAGCAAUACACGGGUGGCGACCGGCGCACGGGUGAGUAACGCGUAUGCAACCUGCCUACUACAAGGGGAUAACCCGUUGAAAGACGGACUAAUACCCUAUAACACAGGGAAUCCGCAUGGAUAUAUUUGUUAAAGAUUUAUCGGUAGUAGAUGGGCAUGCGUUCCAUUAGCUUGUUGGUGAGGUAACGGCUCACCAAGGCAACGAUGGAUAGGGGAACUGAGAGGUUGAUCCCCCACACUGGAACUGAGACACGGUCCAGACUCCUACGGGAGGCAGCAGUGAGGAAUAUUGGUCAAUGGACGAGAGUCUGAACCAGCCAAGUCGCGUGAAGGAAGACGGCCCUACGGGUUGUAAACUUCUUUUGUAAGGGAAUAAAUAGUCUUACGCGCUAAGACGUUGCAGGUACCUUACGAAUAAGGAUCGGCUAACUCCGUGCCAGCAGCCGCGGUAAUACGGAGGAUCCGAGCGUUAUCCGGAUUUAUUGGGUUUAAAGGGUGCGCAGGCGGCAUGUUAAGUCGGCGGUGAAAUUUUGCAGCUCAACUGUAAAAGAGCCUUCGAAACUGGCAAGCUUGAGUGUGGAUGAAGUAGGCGGAAUUUGUGGUGUAGCGGUGAAAUGCAUAGAUAUCACAAAGAACACCGAUUGCGCAGGCAGCUUACUAAACCAUAACUGACGCUCAUGCACGAAGGCGUGGGGAUCAAACAGGAUUAGAUACCCUGGUAGUCCACGCAGUAAACGAUGAUUACUGGCUGUUUGCGAUACAAUGUAAGCGGCUGAGCGAAAGCGUUAAGUAAUCCACCUGGGGAGUACGUUCGCAAGAAUGAAACUCAAAGGAAUUGACGG